ACACUGACGUCGCGACGCAUAUCAAUAAGCGGAGGAAAAGAAACUAACAAGGAUUCCCUUAGUAACGGCGAGUGAAGCGGGAAGAGCUCAAAUUUGAAAUCUUCAAGGUUUUACCUUGACGAAUUGUAGUUUAAAGAAGUGUUUUCUGUUGAGGUUUUGGUAAAAGUUCUUUGGAAUAGGACAUCAUAGAGGGUGAGAAUCCCGUAUUUGACCUUUACUUUCAACUUUGUGAUACACUUUCAAAGAGUCGGAUUGUUUGGGAAUGCAGUCCAAAAUGGGUGGUAAAUUUCAUCUAAAGCUAAAUAUUGGCGAGAGACCGAUAGCGAACAAGUACCGUGAGGGAAAGAUGAAAAGAACUUUGAAAAGAGAGUUAAACAGUACGUGAAAUUGUCAAAAGGGAAGCGUUUGACACCAGUGUUGUUUUUCUGAAAAUCAAUUAAAGAACUGUUUAUGCUAAGUUGUUUAGACUUUAUCAGCUAACUGUUUAGUUUUGAGCUUUUCUUCAAUGCACUUUUCAGUUAACAAGUCAACAUCAAUUUCUUUUGCUGUAAAAAAGCUUGAGGAAGGUGGCUUGAGAUUCGUCUUAAGUGUUUAUAGCCUCUUGCCUAUGCAGUCGGAGAGAUUGAGGUCUGCAGCGUAGAUCCUUCGGGGCUAAAUGCAUUUGUGCUAAGUUAUAGCAUUUUAUAGACAACUUGUUGACUAUGAUUUGUCUUGUAGCUUACUCGCUUAUGUUAUUUUACCUACGCUUAGGAUGUUGAACUCUAUCACACACAG
rnacentral:rRNA from 1 species